UCAUCAAGCCCCUCUUCAGUUACAGACGAAGAAAGUUUUGGUUAAAAAUGUUCAAGACUUCAGUGUUUCUAAGGAAAAGAAUGACUUGGGAUUUAUAACGUUUGACCUUGAAGCAGAUAUCCUUUUUGCCUUUUAA